GUGUCAGCCAAGCAAAAUAUGUCUUUUAUUUAUUUUUAUUUUUUUUUCCUUUCCUCUCUUCUUCUCCGCCGGAGACGAGACGCAGCUCUUCCACUUCCAAGCGUCUAUGUUCUUCUUCCUCAUCCUCUGAACCGUCUUCUUCGUCUCGAAGCCCCACCAAGCAAUCUAAGGUCAAGAUCGAUGCCGCUAUUGAAUCUGUACGUUAAAUCCGAUUGAGAAUCAAGGACCGGUUUCAGAUUCAGGAUCAGAAUCUGGAGAGCUGGAGCUUGGAUCCUCUGAUCCAGAGAAUGUGAUCAGAGUCCAAACGAGGUUAGCUUUUUCAUUGACAAGAGUAAGGUUCAAGAAGUGAAAAAGGACAAGCCCUUGCUUAUCUCCUGAAGAAGCUCAACACUGAAGGGAAGCUUCCUCUUAAUGAAAAGUAGGUUUGUAUUGUAUCAGUUUUUGAUAUGCUUUGAUUUGCUUCCGCUGGUGAACUUUGUCUCUAUCAUGGAUCAUCUAACUACAUGGAGAAAGAGUUCCCUUUACAGGAAUACUAAGUGAUAAAGCUCAAAAAAAUCCAGACCUUUUCAAUUGGAAUAGACUUAAGCUUCGUUACUGUGAUGGUGCUUCUUUCAGGGGAGAUGGUCAGAAUGAGAACUGAUGUGUCUGGUGGACGAACAAUCAGGAACUUAUACAAUGGUAUAGUAGAGUUUCAGAGUGUGAAAACAACCUGCCUCGUCUGUGCACAAACCAUCUUGAUCCAACUUCGUGUUUCUUCCCAGAGAAUCUGAUCAGUCAGAUGAAAACUCAACUUUUCAUUGUCAACGCUGCAUAUGAUACAUGGCAGAUAUAAAGCAGCAUAGCUCCAACAUCAGCACAUCCUAGUGGGUUUUGGCAUGACUUUAUGGUCUUAGGUUUAAGUUUUUUUUUCUGGUUUUAGUUUUGUAAACCAAUUUUAAUUUAUAAAUAAAAUUAAUUUUAAAUUUUAA